GGGGCGGUGGUCUAGUGGCUAUGAUGCUCUGCCUUGUUUCGUUAUCCGAAUUCCUAGAACCUAUAACCUCUACCCAAAGGCAGAGAGGUCGGUGGUUCGAGUCCAUCCCGCUCCA
rfam:Colletotrichum orbiculare MAFF 240422 contig01056, whole genome shotgun sequence.